UCGUUGACAGUUUGUUGGGUUCCUUGGCGUUUAUUUCGGUAAACUAUCGGGCAGCUGCAUGAGUGCAAUGAACACUCCCCGCGAAGAAGAGUGAAUCAUCACUCCUAGCCCACUCGAUCGGACAACAAACAGAGAUUGGUUAUUGAGCUUUUUCACCAGUUUCUGUUUUCUUCUGGCACCCUGCUGUUAUAAGUUUUGAUGUUUUUUUUCCGGUGGUAGCGUUAUUAACCACCGAUUCUCGUAGUGCUCCAUCAGACGACAGAGAAAGCGCCAACCAAGGAGAGGGAACCUUGAAAACAGAUUGUUCUCUACUUAGCUGGGGAUUUCUAUAAAAAGAUCCUGUCAAACAUACCUGAGCACAGUUUUCAGCAAGCGCUCUCGGAGGACGAUCGCCGCCCUACAGACAACUCUACACAAUGGAAACAAGAAGGUUCCUCAUGAUCCUUUUGGCGGCGUGCCUAGCACUUCUACUCGUCUCCGAUAUGGCGCAUGCGCACUUCAGAUUAGGUCGUCGCGAGAUGGUGAAGCUCAGCCGAACGGGUCGUAUAUCCGAAUCAUUCGAUGACCAGCCGAGCACAGAGAGCAUCGACUACAAAGAGGAAGAGACGAAGCCGAGGAGAGUGGAUAUGCUGUUGAAAGAGCUGAUGGAAGAGAGAAAGAGGGAGUUGGACAGACGUCGUGAGUUUCGGCAAUGACGUAAUCAUUCAGAAUUUUUAAAACAAACAUGAAAUAUGCCAUAUCUACCACAAAGAGCAUCAACGAACACUGGGGUCGGAUCAACUGAAGACUGAAUGAGCUGAUAUUGCAGCGCACAAUAUUUGCGCGAAUGAAAGACACCUGUUUCCAAAUGCAUCGAUCUUUAUUUCAACUGUACUGUAUACAUUAAAAUGUACAAUUAAUAUCAA